CAUGUAGGCGGAUUAAUAAGUUUGAAGUGAAAUCCUAUAGCUUAACUAUAGAACUGCUUUGAAAACUGUUGAUCUAGAAUGUGGGAGAGGUAGAUGGAAUUUCUGGUGUAGGGGUAAAAUCCGUAGAGAUCAGAAGGAAUACCGAUUGCGAAGGCGAUUUACUGGAACACAAUUGACGCUGAGAUGCGAAAGCGUGGGGAGCAAACAGGAUUAGAUACCCCCGUA
rnacentral:rRNA from 1 species